rnacentral:rRNA from 1 species
AUUGAACGCUGGCGGCAUGCUUUACACAUGCAAGUCGAACGGCAGCGCGGGCUUCGGCCUGGCGGCGAGUGGCGAACGGGUGAGUAAUGCAUUGGAACGUGCCCAGUAGUGGGGGAUAGCCCGGCGAAAGCCGGAUUAAUACCGCAUACGACCUGAGGGUGAAAGCGGGGGACCGAAAGGCCUCGCGCUAUUGGAGCGGCCGAUGUCGGAUUAGCUAGUUGGUGGGGUAAAGGCUUACCAAGGCGACGAUCCGUAGCUGGUCUGAGAGGACGACCAGCCACACUGGGACUGAGACACGGCCCAGACUCCUACGGGAGGCAGCAGUGGGGAAUUUUGGACAAUGGGGGCAACCCUGAUCCAGCCAUGCCGCGUGCGGGAAGAAGGCCUGCGGGUUGUAAACCGCUUUUGUUCGGGAAGAAAUCCUCUGGGCUAAUACCCCGGGGGGAUGACGGUACCGGAAGAAUAAGCACCGGCUAACUACGU